GGCUGCGAUCAUACCAGCACUAAUGCACCGGAUCCCAUCAGAACUCCGCAGUUAAGCGUGCUUGGGCGAGAGUAGUACUAGGAUGGGUGACCCCCUGGGAAGUCCUCGUGUUGCAACCC
rnacentral:rRNA from 1 species